GUUACGACGUGGCAUGCCUAUGUGGACCGAAAAGAAAAAAUGAAAGAACUAAAAUAUACAUAAUUUAAAAUGCCACCAUUUAAAAUUAGUAAAAGAAAAAAGAAAAAAAAAAUUAAAACACAAUUUAUGCCUUUCUUCUCAUUAUCUACCCCUCGCUCUCUCUGUGUGUUGUCCGCCGAUCGCCGUCACCACCGCCUCCACCUCCUCCGGUCUGCUGUGGCCACGGCCUCGCCGCCUCGAACCUCUCCGUCCAAGCAGUGCAACCUGCAAGCGGCAAACAGGUAGCACAACAGCAUUGCGUAGGCUCGCACACCCCGUCUCCUCCGCCCUCAACGGUCAGUGCCACGCCACCGCCCUCGCUACCUUUCUCAUUUUCUCUCUCGUCUUCGUCCUCUCGAAUCUUCCAACCUAGAUUUGAGGACUGAAUCGAGAGCUUCAGCUUCUCGAGCUUCGAUUUACUCAGAACCUACAUAGCUCAAAGGCGAUUCGUCGGCAAGGAGAAAGACAGCGGCGAUAAUGGAAUUUGUUUGAUUUGAUUCUAGCAACAUGCGUCCAAUUUUGCAGGGUAAUUGAAACGAGACCUAUCAAAAAUCGGGAGAGAUUCAACUUCAAAAAUCAGGAUCUCGUCGUCUAAUACUCAAAUUUUACUGAUUGAAGGCCAGCGCCGUAGGAAGGCGGCGAUGAGGUGGGGUCGUUGACACUGUAAAAUUGAGAAUCGAGAUCUCCCUUCCCAGUUGCCUCAACGGCGGAGCCUACAUCCGCGACAACCCAAACCUUCAAUUCAUCACAAAGGGCCCCAACCAUUUCUUCGAGGUAAUAUAAUAACCCUCGGCCGCCCUGAUUUCGGAGCUUCCAUGCCAUUCUCGAGGAUGACAGUGCACCCAAAAGUCGAUGGAGUCACUGGAGAAGCCUUCGCCUAUGAAUACGACGAUUGUGGUGAACUCGUGGUCAAUUUUGAGUGGGAAAUCGCCGGUGGGGGUUGAUUGGGAGAAGGUGGCACGGGUGGGAUGAAGACAGUUGGCGACGAAUGCGGUGGAUAUGCCAUGUUGAGCAGAGAUGACAGAAAUAUAAAAUGGUUUUUUAAGCUAGAAAUAUAAUUCCACAUAGGCAUGCCACGUCGUAACUCCGGCUAUCCACGUCAUUUUUCGAUUGUCGGAAAAUUUUAAUAGGACACGGAUGAUAUUUUUGUGAUAGGUUGGGUAUCGUUUUGGUAUUAUCGUUAGGUUGGGACAUUUUUGAGAAUUCACUAAAAUGAUGGGACAGAAAGUGACCUUUACCCUAAAA